GGGAUACCAUCGAUUGAGUGAUUGACGUAACCCACUGAACAUUUCAAUGCUCUUCCGGACUCACAGCUGUGACCCAGCCUGGAGCUACUAUGGCAGGAAAUCAAUCAAUCAUUGGUAUUUAUUGAGCGCUCGCGCUGUGCAGAUCGCUGCAUUGAGCACCUGGGAGAGCAUCAUAAAAAAAAACAGACUCACCGAGCGCAUUUCCUGCCCGUAAAAAGCUUACGGUCUAGAGCAAACUCUCCAAUACAAGGCCACUGAGAACCCCAAAUUGGUUUUUCAGCGAAAUGGAGAUCUUUUGAACUGACACUCAGUACACUCUUCGAGUCCUUUUAAUCACAGUCAUCGAUGUGGGAAAGUCUUCGUCGGGUUUCCGUCUGCGGUCUCUUGGCUAAAUACUCCAGUAUAUGCUGAUUUACUCGUCAUAAAAAGCUUUCGUUUUACCCCGUUUAAGAAAGGUGGACGUUUUGACGGAUAAUGGCGCUAAUCGGGCUGCUGAUUGAGGAGAUCUGACUUUUUGGACGGGAAUGUGAACGUUCACGAUUGGGGCAGCUCGGCUGUCGAGAAGGAAUUAUCCACAGGAAAAAAGAAUCGCUUCUGUAAAGUCGUCACCGUUUACGAGAGCCACAAAACUACUUUUUCUGGCCUCUUUCAAAUCAGAGGUUGAAUUCUGGUGUGCAGACUCUAGGAAAGGGAGUCGAUCCGAACGAGAGGAUGAAGAGUCCUUAAUGGAGCUUGGAAAAACAACGAAUACCUAUAAAUCAAAGAAGAAAAGCCGUUUUUGAUGCAUUUGUCUGAGAGUGUGAGUUUUAAACUAAAUUGUUAGCACUCCUCCCCGCUGAGGGUCAGGGAUUAGCUGGGAUGGGAGAUUCUUUUAGAAUAUUUCACACUGACCAGGGGAGGUGGGAGGUUUCAAAUACAAGUGUUUUCUUAACCCUAAUCCCUCCCUCUCUGCCCAGCACAGCUCAGACUUUCUCUCUAAUUAGGAGAAGAAUUAGUAGGUGGAUAAAUGUGUUGGAGGAUGAGGAGGUGAUUAGCUUUCUCCAGACGAGGAUAGCGAUUUCAAGGCGUUACUGAAUUCAUUCUGUGCUAAUAAUUUUUGGCAGUGCGGCCUGUGUCUAAGAACGGGUAAUUAUCGGUGGGUGAAUUUGGGGCAUUUUUUCACUCUCUGGCGAGUUCACUUUUAUAUGAUUUCAUCUUAGGAGGAAAUAUUUUGAACCGGGUUUUGAAGACUGUCCAGUCAUUAGGAGUCGUUACAGAUAUUAGCGCCACUUAAAAAAAACACACCCAAUAGCCAAGUGCCUUUUCGAUAGGAGGAGAAAGUACCCCAGACCUCAGAAACUAAAAAUAAAGGCACUACGCUCUUUUCUAGGCCCUCGCUCCUAAAGUGUAAUUUGUCUAUUUUAAAUCAUUCUUAGACACUUUCUGAAU